rnacentral:rRNA from 1 species
AGCUAGUUGGUGAGGUAACGGCUCACCAAGGCAACGAUGCAUAGCCGACCUGAGAGGGUGAUCGGCCACCACUGGGACUGAGACACCGGCCCAGACUCUACGGGAGGCAGCAGUAGGGAAUCUUCCGCAAUGGACGAAAGUCUGACGGAGCAACGCCGCGUGAGUGAUGAAGGCUUUCGGGUCGUAAAACUCUGUUGUUAGGGAAGAACAAGUACGAGAGUAACUGCUCGUACCUUGACGGUACCUAACCAGAAAGCCACGGCUAACUACGUGCCAGCAGCCGCGGUAAUACGUAGGUGGCAAGCGUUAUCCGGAAUUAUUGGGCGUAAAGCGCGCGCAGGCGGUUUCUUAAGUCUGAUGUGAAAGCCCACGGCUCAACCGUGGAGGGUCAUUGGAAACUGGGGAACUUGAGUGCAGAAGAGAAAAGCGGAAUUCCACGUGUAGCGGUGAAAUGCGUAGAGAUGUGGAGGAACACCAGUGGCGAAGGCGGCUUUUUGGUCUGUAACUGACGCUGAGGCGCGAAAGCGUGGGGAGCAAACAGGAUUAGAUACCCUGGUAGUCCACGCCGUAAACGAUGAGUGCUAAGUGUUAGAGGGUUUCCGCCCUUUAGUGCUGCAGCUAACGCAUUAAG